ACCAGGCACUAGUAUCCGUCAGGGAUGCUUGUAGGAACUCCUCGCUUUCGCCUGGGAACCGUCAAAUCACGCCGUGCAGGAUGACCCUUUGUUGUAAUUAGCACAGAAAUGAAUGCCACCGUGUCUGCCUCAGAUAUGGUAUUGUGACAGUAGUCGUGUAUAAAACCUGAGGUGUCAUUCAUAACUACUUUGCAUGUUUGAGGUCAACUUCACUCUGGGAGGGCGAGAUGGAACAGCCAUCUGCCGUAAGGUGCAGAGACGCUUGAACUAUCGAUAGGCAAACGGUUGAGGGCUUCAGGAAUGUAGUAAAAGCUGCAGCACCCAAAGAAAUGGACCUCACAUGCAGGAAAAUGGAGAUGUUUAAGUUUAUCCACUGAGCUCUGCAAAUGGGGAAAAAAUAGAAAAGAGUUGUGUGGCUAAUAAAUUCAAAUACGUAAAUAAAGGUAUCUGCCAUGUGAACUUUUUUGCAAAAACCUUAGCAUAAUAGAAUGCAAGGUUGGAAGAGAUCUUAGAGAUCACCUAGAUGACCCCCAUGCCCAGUGCUACUACUACAGCCAUAGCAUCACUGAUAGAUAUCCAGCCUAUUAAAAUGAAUCCAACAAAAAAGUCUACUACCUCACACAGUAGUGAAUUCUAAGGUGAGCAGCUGUUACUUUUAGGACAUUUUUCCCAAUGUGAGACCAAAAUGUAUUUUCUUGCAUUUAAACCCCAUUGUUUCUUUACCAGUCUUCAGGAACAAUUCUGACUGAUUUUGCCCCACAUUCUACAUAACAGCCUUUCAUAUAUCUGAAGAGAACAAUCGUGCUUCUCUGAAUCUUGUUCACAAUAACUUUAGCUAUUCCUCAUAAGCUUCCUUCCAGCCCUCUUAUUACUUUAGUAGCUUCCUCUGGAUUUGCUCUAGUUUGUCCUGAGAGGAUUUGUCAAAUGAUUUACUGAAGUCAAUGUUCUAUCAAAUUCCCAUGGUUAUUCUUUUAAAAAAUCAUUGUGGUUUUGCUAUGAUUUAUUCUUGAUAGGUCCAAACCGACUCUUCUGUUUCACUCUCUCCUAACUCCAAAUGUAAUUAUGAGAGCCCACUUUUUCCAGGACAUGCAUACUUUUUAAAUCUCUACUCUGGCUCCUGGUGAGGAUUCAUGCCAAACCAAAUAUUCCUGAAAAGGUGGGAGAGAUCAGUGGCCAAUCAGUGGAUUCUGAUGAAAUCUCUCCAGAAAAAGGAGAAAACUGCAAGAUCACCCUCUUGCACUCUGUGCAAACUAGUCCUCAUAAGUAGAGAUUGCAACAAGCUAGAUUUUUUGUGGAUGAUUUGUGAGUCAUGGAAAAUGCUAUUUUGAAUUCUUAAAUAAAAUAAUAGGACUCUAGUCUAAAGAUUGGACAAUAGAGAAAACUAGAAGGAAUUAAAUAUUAUGUUUAAAAAAGAACACUUAAAUUUGACCUACUACUACAGAACGGAGCAAAAUAAUUCAACAUGGGACAUAUUGAAAGAUAUGUGGGAACAAGACUCUGCCAAUAUUGACAGACUGUGUUUAAAGGAUGCUACAGAAGAGGAACAAGUUUUACCAGACAAAACUGAGACUGAUUUAAAAGUGGAUUUAAUAAUGACAGGUUGCAAGAAUGAUAUGGAAAGAGAUGCUACACUGGAUAUACAAAUGAAACCAGCUGGUACCUUAAUAAUUAAAAGGAAUAUACAAAACAAAAGAGUGACUUAACUUCCUUAUAUUGAAUUUACAAAAGAGGCCUGUUAAAAUUUUGAAGGAUUUUGGGUGAAGGAACAAAGAAAAGUAUAAAAAGAAAUCAAGUUCUAAGACAUUACUUGAAGGGCUUAAAGAUAAAGAUUGUUAAAUGUAUAAGAAAGGAAUAUAAGGUUGAUUUAUUUGAUCAAGGUUAAACUAGAUAUAUUAUCUCUGGUAAUCCUUAAUAGACUGUUGCUGAUCAGGACUGAAUGACAAGACUUUAAGGAUUUGUUUAUAAAUAAGAGACGAGACUGAUAUAGCAUGUAAACAAGAUAUGGGAAGAAGAGAUUUGCGUUUUGAGAAGGUGAUAAGUUACUAAAAUUUAUGCUUGUUGUGAUGAAGGGAGAAAUUUAUAUUUUUUUAUUUUUGCCUUUUUAAUUCUCUGCACUAUUUUUAUUCUUUUUUAGUUUGUAUUUUUAUCUUUUUAAUUGCAUUUAGUAACUAUUAUUAAAAAAAAACCCUCUACCGUGACCAUUUUUACUUGGCUCAGCUAAAAAGCACCAAAUGUUGUCCUCAUUUUUCCUAGUUAUUGCUCCAGUCCCUUGAUUUUAUUUUUCUACAUUUUCUACAUUCCAACUCUUUGGGGGGGGGGGGGAAUGCAGUCCAUCAGUAUGCUAUUGUUUCUCUCCAUUUCUUAUUUUUUUAUAUAUUGUUUGUCACAUUGCAAAUACACUGAACUAAAUAAGAACUUUAACUAAAAAUAGUAUUUGGAUACAAGCCAAGACUUGCAAUCAAACUUAAAAAAACCCCCAGUAUGUAUUAAAGGACUAUUUCUGUUGGCAUUCUACAAAUAAAAUGAAACACAGAAAGUUGCAGUA